GUCAAGGUGGCCGAGUGGUCUAAGGCGCUGCAUUCGAGACCUAUCAGUCUUACCUAGAUAACUGGGAACUUCUGUAGUAUCGAAAGAUUCUUGGGUUCGAAUACCAACCUUGACA